rnacentral:miRNA from 1 species
UAGGAUUACAAGUGUCGGCCAC